UACAGAGGGUGCGAGCGUUAAUCGGAAUUACUGGGCGUAAAGCGCACGUAGGUGGCGACGUAAGUCGGGUGUGAAAGCCCCGGGCUCAACCUGGGAAUUGCAUUCGAGACUGCAUUGCUGGAGUACGGAAGAGGAAGGCGGAAUUCCCGGUGUAGCGGUGAAAUGCGUAGAUAUCAGGAGGAACACCGACGGCGAAGGCAGCACUCUGGGCCGGUACUGACGCUGAGGAGCGAAAGCAUGGGGAGCGAACAGG
rnacentral:rRNA from 1 species